UAACAAUAUGAUGUAACACUGUCAUUGCACAAUUCUCUACUGUUACCUAAGUAGACACAGUGACAUGACUGGGUUUAGCCCAGCCUCGUUCUCAGUCUGAAAUGCACCGUUUAAGCUCAUUGAAACCCUUCGGAUUCCAGAGGGGCUGGAAACGAAAGACAUUGAAGACCCCUCUGGAAUCACACAGGUUAAAAACCAUUUGAUUUACCCAAUCUAGUGUCUAAAGGACACUGCGUCAUAGGUUUGGAUAAAUAGCUUAACCCUUUCAAAUAUUCUUCAUUCCAUUACGUGCUUUAAC